UCCCAGCGGUCCAAGUCGCAGCCACAUUUGUUGGGUCUAAAACAUCCGUAGCUUGCUAUGUAAGUCUUUUGUGAAAUUCCAUAUCUUAAGUAUGGAGCGUGCAAGAGAUACUGCAUUGCUAGAGACCAGAAGACGUAAGAAGUACGAUUAGGGUAGUAGUAAAAUACGUUGAUCCUAAUUGGACUAACAAUAGCGAAGGCAUCUUACGAGUAUGGAUCUGACAGUGAGGGAUGAAGGCUAGGGUCGCGAAAAG
rnacentral:rRNA from 1 species